AUUGAACGCUGGCGGCAGGCCUAACACAUGCAAGUCGAACGAGCGGCGGACGGGUGAGUAAUGUCUGGGAAACUGCCCGAUGGAGGGGGAUAACUACUGGAAACGGUGGCUAAUACCGCAUACUAUCAGAUGUGCCCAGAUGGGAUUAGCUUGUUGGGGGGGUAAAGGCGCACCAAGGCGACGAUCCCUAGCUGGUCUGAGAGGAUGACCAGCAACACGGGAACUGAGACACGGUCCAGACUCCUACGGGAGGCAGCAGUGGGGAAUAUUGCACAAGGGGCGCAAGCCUGAUGCAGCCAUGCCGCGUGUAUGAAGAAGGCCUUCGGGUUGUAAAGUACUUUCAGCGGGGAGGCGUUACCCGCAGAAGAAGCACCGGCUAACUCCGUGCCAGCAGCCGCGGUAAUUC
rnacentral:rRNA from 1 species